UACAUAGGUAGCGAGCGUUAUCCGGAAUAACUGGGUGUAAAGGGAGUGUAGGUGGAAUAUCAAGUCUGAUGUGAAAGCCCGGGGCUUAACCCUGUGGAUUGCACCAGAAACUGAUAGUCUAGAGUACGAGAGAGGCAAGUGGAAUUCCUAGUGUAGCGGUAAAAUGCGUAGAGAUUAGGAGGAACACCGGAGGCGAAGGCGACUUGCUGGCUCGCAACUGACACUGAGACUCGAAAGUGUGGGGAGCAAA
rnacentral:rRNA from 1 species